rnacentral:lncRNA from 1 species
AUUGGCAGAACUUUUUUUUUCUUUAUUUUUGUAGUUUUCUUUCAUGGCUGUCUGCUCUGGUGUUGUGGGUUGGAAAAACCUGGCGGAUGUAUAAAAACUCGGGCCCAGUGGGGUCGUACCUGGAACCAUGGGCUUUAUAUCUAGCAUCAUCUGGGGGUUUGGGGUGAUCUGGGCCGUCCGUUCUGUGGUCCUCCUGAUCUAGGAGUUCGAGGACCGUACGAGAUGAACCCGUCGGCCCGGCUGCGGCGUGGACCUCCGGUCCGGGCUAAGCCGGUAGGCCGUAUGCCUGGGGAGUGGUGGGCCCACGGAGAGCAGAGGAGAAACGCGGGAAUGAGCGCGGGGCCCG